rnacentral:rRNA from 1 species
AAGCAAUCCUGAGUAAAGCGGCGCACGGGUGAGUAACACGUGGGGAAUCUACCUCUGGGUGGGGAAUAACUCUGGGAAACCGGAGCUAAUACCGCAUAAGCCUGGAAAGGGAAAGCCGAAAGGCGCCGGGAGAGGACCCCGCGGCCGAUUAGCUAGUUGGUGAGGUAACGGCUCACCAAGGCAAAGAUCGGUAGCCGGCCUGAGAGGGCACACGGCCACACUGGCACUGAAACACGGGCCAG